AGAGUUUGAUCCUGGCUCAGGAUGAACGCUAGCUACAGGCUUAACACAUGCAAGUCGAGGGGCAGCAUCAUCAAAAGCUUGCUUUUGAUGGAUGGCGACCGGCGCACGGGUGAGUAACACGUAUCCAACCUGCCGACAACACUGGGAUAGCCUUUUCGAAAGAAAGAUUAAUACCGGAUGGCAUAGUUUUCCCGCAUGGGAUGAUUAUUAAAGAAUUUCGGUUGUCGAUGGGGAUGCGUUCCAUUAGGCAGUUGGCGGGGUAACGGCCCACCAAACCAACGAUGGAUAGGGGUUCUGAGAGGAAGGUCCCCCACAUUGGAACUGAGACACGGUCCAAACUCCUACGGGAGGCAGCA
rnacentral:rRNA from 1 species